UACAGAGGUCUCAAGCGUUGUUCGGAUUCAUUGGGCGUAAAGGGUGCGUAGGUGGUGGGGUAAGUCGGAUGUGAAAUCUCGGGACUCAACCCCGAAACUGCACUUGAUACUGCGAUGCUCGAGUACUGGAGAGGAGAUUGGAAUUUACGGUGUAGCAGUGAAAUGCGUAGAUAUCGUAAGGAAGACCAGUGGCGAAGGCGAAUCUCUGGACAGUUACUGACACUGAGGCACGAAGGCCAGGGGAGCAAACAGG
rnacentral:rRNA from 1 species